UUAGUGUGUUAGAGGCUAGGGUCUCUGGCUUUCACCCAGAAGGCCCGGGUUCGAUUCCCGGCGUGGGAA
rnacentral:tRNA from 1 species